rnacentral:lncRNA from 1 species
GUUUUACUGUUCUCACUAGCAGUAGUUUUGCUGUUCUCCCUGCAGUAUUUUGCUGUUCUCCCUGCAGUAGUUUUACUGUUCUCACUAGCAGUAGUUUUACUGUUCUCACUAGCAGUAGUUUUGCUGUUCUCACUAGCAGUAGUUUUGCUGUUCUCACUAGCAGUAGUUUUGCUGUUCUCCCUGCAGUAGUUUUACUGUUCUCCCUGCAGUAGUUUUACUGUUCUCCCUGCAGUAGUUUUACUGUUCUCCCUGCAGUAUUUUGCUGUUCUCACUAGCAGUAGUUUGCUGUUCUCCCUGCAGUAGUUUGCUGUUCUCCCUGCAGUAGUUUUACUGUUCUCACUAGCAGUAGUUUUGCUGUUCUCACUAGCAGUAGUUUUGCUGUUCUCCCUGCAGUAGUUUUACUGUUCUCCCUGCAGUAUUUUUGCUGUUCUCCCUGCAGUAGUUUUACUGUAUGUUAUCUAAUUUGCCAUGCCAAAUUAAAGUAGGAAGCACCAGUGACUCGGUCUAUUAAAAAAGUGGUCAGAUGAAGCAGAUACUAAACUACAGGACUGUUUUGCUAGCACAGACUGGGAUAUAUUCCGGGAUUCUUCCGAAAUGGCAUUGAGAAGUACACCAGAUCAGUCACUGGCUUUAUCAAUAAGUGCAUCGAGGAUGUCGUCCCCACAGUGGCCGUACGUACGUACCCCAACCAGAAGCCAUGGAUUAAAGGCAACGUUCGCACUGAGCUAAAAGGUACAGCUGCAGCUUUCAAGGAGCGGGACUCUAACCAGGAAGCUUAUAAGAAAUCCCGCUAUGCCCUCCGACGAACCAUCAAAGAGGUAAAGCAUCAAUACAGGACUAAGAUCGAGUUGUACUACACCGGUCUGACGCUCGUCGGAUGUGGCAGGGCCUGCAAACCAUUACAGACUACAAAGGGAAGCACAGCCGAGAGCUGCCCAGUGACACGAGCCUACCAGACGAGCUAAAUAACUUCUAUGCUCGCUUCGAGGCAAGUAACACUGAAACAUGCAUGGAGCAACAGCUGUUCCCGGACGAUUGUGUGAUCAGGCUCUCCACAGCCGAUGUGAGUAAAGACCUUUAAACCGGUCAACAUUCACAAGGCCGCAGGGCCAGGCGGAAUACCAGGACGUGGUCUACGAGCACGCGCUGACCAACUGGCAAGUGUCUUCAGUGACAUUUUCAACCUCUCCUUGUCCGAGUCUGUAAUACCAACAUGUUUCAAGCAGACCACCAUAGUCCCUGUGCCCAAGAACACUAAGGUAACCUACCUAAAUGACUCCCGACCCAUAGCACUCUUGUCUGUAGCCAUGAAAUGCUUUGAAAGGCUGGUCAUGGCUCACAUCAACACCAUCAUCCCAGAAACCCUAGACCCGACUCCAAUUUGCAUACUGCCUCAACAGAUCCACAGAUGAUGCAAUCUCUAUUGCACUCCACACUGCCCUUUUACACCUGGACAAAAGGAACACCUAUGUGAGAAUGUUAUUCAUUGACUACAGCUCAGCGUUCAACACCAUAGUGCCCUCAAAGCUCAUCACCAAGGUAAGGACCCUGGGACUAAACACUUCCCUCUGCAACUGGAUCCUGGACUUCCUGACGGGCCGCCCCCAGGUGGUAAGGGUAGGUAACAACACAUCUGCCACGCUGAUCCUCAACACGGGGGUCCCUCAGGGGUGCGUGCUCAGUCCCAUCCUGUACUCCCUGUUCACUCAUGACUGCACGGCCAGGCACGAGUCCAACACCAUCAUUAAGUUUGCUGAUGACACAAAAGUGGUAGGACAGAUCACCGACAACGACGAGACAGCCUAUAGGGAGGAGGUCAGAGACCUGGCCGUGUGGUGCAAGGACAACAACCUCUCCCUCAACGUGAUCAAGACAAAGGAGAUGAUUGUGGACUACAGGAAAAGGAGGACUGAGCACGCCCCCAUUCUCAUUGACGGGGCUGUAGUGGAGCAGGUUGAGAGCUUCAAGUUCCUUGGCGUCUACAUCACCAACAAACUAUCAUUUGUAUUUUUUAAAUUUUAUUUCACCUUUAUUUAACCAGGCAGGCUAGUUGAGAACAAGUUCUCAUUUACAACUGUGACCUGGCCAAGAUAAAGCAAAGAUGUGCGACAAAAACAACAACACAGUGUUACACAUAAACAAACAUAUAGUCAAUAACACAAUAGAGAAGUCUAUAUACAGUGUGUGCAAAUGUAGAAGAGUAGGGAGGUAAGGCAAUAAAUAGACCAUAGAGGUGAAAUAAUUACAAUUUAGCAUUAACACUGGAGUGAUAGAUGUGCAGAAGAUGAUGUGCAAGUAGAGAUACUGGGGUGCAAAAGAGCAAGAGGAUAAGUAACAAUAUGGGGAUGAGGUAGCUGGUUGUGCUAUUUACAGAUUGGCUGUGUACAGGUACAGUGAUCGGUAAGCUGCUCUGACAGCUGAUGCUUAAAUUAGAGAGGGAGUUAAUAGUCUCCAGCUUCAGAGAUUUUUGCAAUUCGUUCCAGUCAUUGGCAGCAAAGAACUGGAAGGAAAGGCGGCCAAAAGAGGUGUUGGCUUUGGGGGAUGACCAGUGAAAUAUACCUGCUGGAGCGCGUGCUACGGAUGGGCCCAAGCACACCAAGACAGUCGUGAAGAGGGCACGACAAAACCUUUUCCCCCUCAAGAAACUGAAAAGAUUUGGCAUGGGUCCUCAGAUCCUCAAAAGGUUCUACAGCUGCACCAUCAAGGGCAUCCUGACGGGUUGCAUCACCGCCUGGUAUGACAACUGCUCGGCCUCCGACCGCAAGGCACUACAGAGGGUAGUACGUAUGGUCCAGUACAUCACUGGGGCCAAGCUUCCUGCCAUCCAGGACCUCUAUACCAGUCGGUGUCAGAGGAAGGCUCUAAAAAUGGUCAAAGACUCCAGCCACCCAAGUCAUGGAUUGUUCUGUCUGCUACCGCACGGCAAGUGGUACCAGAGCGCCAAGUCUAGGUCCAAGAGGCUUCUAAACAGCUUCUACCCCCAAGCCAUAAGCCUCCUGAACAUCUAAUCAAAUGACUACACAAACUAUUUGCAUUGCCACGCCCCCCCUUCUACGCUGCUGCUACUCUCUGUUUAUUAUCUGUGCAUAGUCACGUGUACAUUUUACCUCAAUUACCUCGACUAACCGGUGCCCCCGGACAUUGACUCUGUAGCGGUACCCCGUCUAUAGCCUCGCUAUUGUUUUUUUACUG